rnacentral:lncRNA from 1 species
GCCAAGAAGCGCAAGCUGGAAGAUGAGUGCUCAGAGCUCAAAAGGGACAUCGAUGAUCUGGAGCUGACACUGGCCAAAGUGGAGAAGGAGAAACACGCAACAGAGAACAAGGUGAAAAACCUGACAGAGGAGAUGGCUGGGCUGGAUGAGAUCAUUGCCAAGCUGACCAAGGAGAAGAAAGCUCUGCAAGAGGCCCACCAACAGGCUCUGGAUGACCUUCAGGCCGAGGAGGACAAGGUCAACACCCUGACUAAGGCCAAAGUCAAGCUGGAGCAGCAAGUGGAUGAUCUGGAAGGAUCCCUGGAGCAAGAGAAGAAGGUGCGCAUGGACCUGGAGCGAGCGAAGCGGAAGCUGGAGGGCGACCUGAAGCUGACCCAGGAGAGCAUCAUGGACCUGGAGAAUGACAAGCAGCAGCUGGAUGAGCGGCUGAAAAAAAAAGACUUUGAGCUGAAUGCUCUCAACGCAAGGAUUGAGGAUGAACAGGCCCUCGGCAGCCAGCUGCAGAAGAAGCUCAAGGAGCUUCAGGCACGCAUCGAGGAGCUGGAGGAGGAGCUGGAGGCCGAGCGCACCGCCAGGGCUAAGGUGGAGAAGCUGCGCUCAGACCUGUCUCGGGAGCUGGAGGAGAUCAGCGAGCGGCUGGAAGAGGCCGGCGGGGCCACGUCCGUGCAGAUCGAGAUGAACAAGAAGCGCGAGGCCGAGUUCCAGAAGAUGCGGCGGGACCUGGAGGAGGCCACGCUGCAGCACGAGGCCACUGCCGCGGCCCUGCGCAAGAAGCACGCCGACAGCGUGGCCGAGCUGGGCGAGCAGAUCGACAACCUGCAGCGGGUGAAGCAGAAGCUGGAGAAGGAGAAGAGCGAGUUCAAGCUGGAGCUGGAUGACGUCACCUCCAACAUGGAGCAGAUCAUCAAGGCCAAGGCUAACCUGGAGAAGAUGUGCCGGACCUUGGAAGACCAGAUGAAUGAGCACCGGAGCAAGGCGGAGGAGACCCAGCGUUCUGUCAACGACCUCACCAGCCAGCGGGCCAAGUUGCAAACCGAGAAUGGUGAGCUGUCCCGGCAGCUGGAUGAGAAGGAGGCACUGAUCUCCCAGCUGACCCGAGGCAAGCUCACCUACACCCAGCAGCUGGAGGACCUCAAGAGGCAGCUGGAGGAGGAGGUUAAGGCGAAGAACGCCCUGGCCCACGCACUGCAGUCGGCCCGGCAUGACUGCGACCUGCUGCGGGAGCAGUACGAGGAGGAGACGGAGGCCAAGGCCGAGCUGCAGCGCGUCCUUUCCAAGGCCAACUCGGAGGUGGCCCAGUGGAGGACCAAGUAUGAGACGGACGCCAUUCAGCGGACUGAGGAGCUCGAGGAGGCCAAGAAGAAGCUGGCCCAGCGGCUGCAGGAAGCUGAGGAGGCCGUGGAGGCUGUUAAUGCCAAGUGCUCCUCGCUGGAGAAGACCAAGCACCGGCUACAGAAUGAGAUCGAGGACUUGAUGGUGGACGUAGAGCGCUCCAAUGCUGCUGCUGCAGCCCUGGACAAGAAGCAGAGGAACUUCGACAAGAUCCUGGCCGAGUGGAAGCAGAAGUAUGAGGAGUCGCAGUCGGAGCUGGAGUCCUCGCAGAAGGAGGCUCGCUCCCUCAGCACAGAGCUCUUCAAACUCAAGAACGCCUAUGAGGAGUCCCUGGAACAUCUGGAGACCUUCAAGCGGGAGAACAAAAACCUGCAGGAGGAGAUCUCCGACUUGACUGAGCAGUUGGGUUCCAGCGGAAAGACUAUCCAUGAGCUGGAGAAGGUCCGAAAGCAGCUGGAGGCCGAGAAGAUGGAGCUGCAGUCAGCCCUGGAGGAGGCCGAGGCCUCCCUGGAGCACGAGGAGGGCAAGAUCCUCCGGGCCCAGCUGGAGUUCAACCAGAUCAAGGCAGAGAUCGAGCGGAAGCUGGCAGAGAAGGACGAGGAGAUGGAACAGGCCAAGCGCAACCACCUGCGGGUGGUGGACUCGCUGCAGACCUCCCUGGACGCAGAGACACGCAGCCGCAACGAGGCCCUGAGGGUGAAGAAGAA